GAUGAACGCUAGCGGCAGGCCUAACACAUGCAAGUCGAGGGGUAGAAGGAGCUUGCUCCUUUGAGACCGGCGCACGGGUGCGUAACGCGUAUAGAACCUACCUUUUACAGAGGGAUAGCCCAGAGAAAUUUGGAUUAAUACCUCAUAAUAUUAUUGAAUGGCAUCAUUUAAUAAUUAAAGUUUCGGCGGUAAAAGAUGGCUAUGCGUCCUAUUAGUUAGUUGGAGGGGUAACGGCUCACCAAGACAUCGAUAGGUAGGGGUCCUGAGAGGGAGAUCCCCCACACUGGUACUGAGACACGGACCAGACUCCUACGGGAGGCAGCAGUGAGGAAUAUUGGACAAUGGGCGCAAGCCUGAUCCAGCCAUGCCGCGUGCAGGAAGACGGCCCUAUGGGUUGUAAACUGCUUUUAUACAGGAAGAAACACUCCCUCGUGAGGGAACUUGACGGUACUGUAUGAAUAAGCACCGGCUAACUCCG
rnacentral:rRNA from 1 species